rnacentral:sRNA from 1 species
AAAACUGAUAUGUGUUAUGUUGAGGAAGAGGUUUUGUCUUUGUUUCAACAGGAAAGCUGUGGAUACCAUUAAGAUUUAUAAAGAUCAGAUGUGAUAUAUAUCUCACAUAUUUAAAUAUAUAUACAUUUUAUAUAUAUAUAUAUAUAUAUAUAAUCUUCUACAGGGUUACUGGAAAAGCAGGUAAUUUCCAACGAGGACAGGAACAAAGAGCAGUUGUUGAGACUGCCAGUAAGCUCAUUUCCCAGCAUGCAACCCUAACCAAUAUUGAUCUAGAUGAUGCUCAAAAUAUGCAUAUCAUAUUUAUUGGUGAACUGGCAGCUGGGGACUUCAUGAAGCAAAAAGGAGUCCACCAACAUUUGCCCAUUGGCUACAAUUGGAAAUGUUUUCCUUAUAUGGAGAUUAAACAUUCUCUCUCUGAGAAACAGAUCCGGACGUUUUUAUGAGGCAUGGAGAAUGUGAUACUCAGUCAUUGCCGGCCACCAUAUAUGGUCCUGAGGAUCGCCCUCACAACGAAGGACUGGAUCCAUUCGGGAGCAGAGUCCUUCACAGGCUGAGCUAUGGAAGGAAAGGAGAAUAAAAGCAUCCAACUAAGGGACCCGGAGACCACCGGACAAGUGAAAAAUCUGAAGAGAAAGGACCGGUCAUCGAGAGAAAAAGAGUAAGUUGGUAAGCGAUGUGGCCCACCUUCAGCAUCUCUGCUGUCCCCAUAGACAUAAGUGACAAAUGACCUGCAUGUGGUCAUUUAAAUUAAAUUAAAAAUUAAAGCUAGCUUUUGGGAUUGGAGCGUGUCUCUCCCCUUCUCUAGAACCACACAUGCUUGUUGAAAUAAAGUAUAAAAUCUGUCUCGUAUCACAAGAGCCACCGGGUCUGGGACAGAGGAAAACAAAAUAUAAGGGACUAUUCUAUUGUCAGUAAUCAUGUUUGGCUCUCUAAAACUUUUCAUAUAUAUACUCUGUGGUAAUCCUGGUAGCUAUACAGAGUACUAACUAAUUCUACAAACAAGCCUCACCUAGCUUCCUAUACGUGCUUUUGACAAGGGCCGGCCUCAGCCAGGAGAGGGGGUCCUGAGGAAGGGGCAUUUGGGAGCUGGGAAACACUGACUCAGACAGUCGUGGGUACAAGCUGACUGCUCUGUAGUCUGCUCGAGACGGCUCCCUAGGCAGUUCUCUGCUCAAGACAGCUCUCCUCGCACUACAAAAAUAAAAAAUAAAAUAAAAAAGUAAAAAAAAAAAAAAUCUAAAAGGUCUCUGAAUAGCUCAUGGGUUUCCGACCAAAUUCAGAAAAGCUGCUAGGAAAAAUUCUUGGAUUUUUCUGAAUAAGGUCAGAAACCCUGUUAGAAAAAUUCUAAAAGGGUAUGGUUUUCUCUCCAAGGAGUUCUCUCUGGGUAGCUCAGCUCUUGCGGACCAAAGUCCUGUCUUUUAUGUGCAUAUCAAUCCAAUCAUCCACCCCAGGUCCCCUGAUUCAUACCAGGAAUCAACAUUUCAGGACUUUACCCCCUGAUUCUUAGAAGAAAAAUGCCAACAAUUACAUAUUUUUUAACAUGGCAGAUGAAUUCAGAGAUCUGCCUGCCUUAGUAAGGCACAGACAAUAAGCCAGCUGGGUGCGGAUCUUGCCCUGAGGUUGCCAUUCCUACGACGACGCCUGGGCCUGUACCUAAUCUCCCUUCCUCCCUGGCUGACCUUGAACUCAGGAAUCUGCCUGAAUUUGUAAAUAAAAGCUCAGCUGGGUGGGAUCUUGCUGGGCAAUCACCAGUCCCUAAAUCUCUGUCUCCUUCCUUAAUAUCUUUCUGACAAGCUGGCUCAGAGUGAAACGCCCUCUGUACCUUUCAGGUCUCUGAACCCCCUCAUGUGAUUCAUAUCGCAUCCUGCAUUUUUGCAUAGCUGAGAAAUCCUGUUUGACAUAACCUCUGAACUCCUGUUUUCAGAGUUCUUUCCCACAGGGCUGUCCUGAAGCAUUUACCGUUUUGCUGAGGUUGUUAUUAGACACACCUUCGACUCCCAGACUCAUGCUGCUUCCGAUUAUCCUGGAGUCGCUGACCUUGGCGGGGAGAAUAUUCCCCGAAGGAAGAAAUAAUAAUUAUGUGCAUUAUUAUAUAAGUAAACCUUAUGCCUACCAGUGGCCGCCUCCGGUGAAGGCCCGAGUACUGCUAGCUCUCCUCCGGGGGACGGGAACUGUGCCACCGCCAUCCCUUCCACGGGGCUACGAAGGACUCCGCAUUGUUUACGGGUCUGACGCUGAAGCAGGUACCUCGGAAACAAGUUUGUGCACCUCGGAUGUACUUAAUACAUUGUGAGCCGGCCGAGUUACCAGAUAACCCGUCUGUUCCGCCCGUGGAAGUGGGUGGAGGUCUGCGUACCAAUUGUUCUCGGACUUGGAUUGACGAAAUUCCCUCUGGUUCUGGUUCUGGAGCACUGGGAUGAGGUCCGGGGACGCACACGCACAACUUGUCAGUAGGCAUAAAGAAAAAGUCCAGACCCUGUGCACAUCUGAAUGGCUGACUUUUGGGGUCAAUUGGCCAGGAAGGGGCAUUCGAUCUUCCCAUACCUGUGGCAAUCAAAUGUAAGACCCGUGGACUUGGAUCCCGAUCUGACAAUCGCCGGACUGCCGGACCAGGUCCACUGUAUAGUUGUCUGGAAAGAGCUUAUAACUGCCCCCCCCCCCCCCCGUUUGGGUUCCUCCUUUUCUCCCUAGCAGGGUUCUGACCUUCAAAGACUCAGUCUGAGCUGCUGGCUAGCUUGGGGAAGAAGACUGCAGGAAUCGGGAACUGCAGAUCUCCUCCUCCCUUGUUAUCCCCCCAGCUCUUGCCCUGAGUGCACCACCGGGGCCCCAGCCCCUGCGCCCCUUUACCCACUCUUCCCGGAGGACUACACGGGUCCUGCCAUGGAGACUCGGAUCUGUAGAGCUGUAUCCCCUGACACCACUAUGGCCCUCCCCCUGCGGGCCUUUGGGCCUGCAGAUGCAACAGGGAAUGAGGCCAUGCAAUGCUGUCCCCUUUCCACCUCUGAUCUCUAACUGGAAAGCUCAGCAUCCACUCUCCUCCGAUAAACCCCAAGGGCCUCACUAAUCUCAUAAGUUCACCCUUCCACUCUUUUCACACACCAGCCUACUUGGGAUGACUGUUAGCAGAGCUCUUGCAGGUCCUCUGCACUGAAAAGAAGGAAUGAAUUCUCCCGGGGGCCAGAAAAAACAUCCCAGGAAAUAAUGGGGUCCCGACCCUGAACACUGCUGACAUGGUCAAGGGAUUCCCCCCUCAGGAGGCCAGACUGGGACUACAAUGCAGCUGCAGGUAAGGAGCACCCAAAGGUCUACCUGCAGGCUCUGUUGGCAGGUCUCAAGGGUGCAGCAAAAUGACCCAUUAAUCGGACUAAUAUAUGAGAGGUGCAGCAGGGCCCCGAUGAGGUGCCUUCAAGCCUACCUAGAACGACUUAUGCAGGCUUUCUGCCAAUAUCCACUCUAUGAUCCUGGUGCUGAGGGACAUAGGGCUACACCGACUAUGGCAUUUCUAGAUCAGGCUGUAAGGGACAUAAAGAGGAAGCUCCAGAAGGUAGUCAGCUUACAAGUUAAGUCUUUGAGGGAACUAGGAAAGGUGGCUGAGAACGUUUACCACAAUAGGGAAACAGAAGAAGAAAAGGAAGAGAGGAAGCAGAAAGAGGCAGAGGAAAGGGGAGCUGUGAAGAGAAAAGGCCAGGAUAGAAAGUUAGAAAAAGGGGUUGGGGAUUUAGCUCAGCGGUAGAGCGCUUGCCUAGCAAGCACAAGGCCCUGGGUUCGGUCCCCAGCUCCAAAGAAAAAAAAAUAAAGUUAGAAAAAAUAAAAUCAUGACAGUGGUGGUUAGGGAAAACAGGAGGGGACCCAAGCCUCUGCCACAAGUAAGGAGACAGAGAGCUCCACUUGAGAAAGACCAGUGCGCCAGUUGCAAAGAACGUGGCCACUGGACUAGAAAUUGUCCCAACAAGAAAAAGCAGGGAAAGGGGGCAAGAAGGAAGGAAGAUGGCUCACAGGCCCAAAGAGUCUUAACUCUGGGAGAAGAGAGUGACUAGGGGGGACAGGGUUCAGAGCCCUUACCCGAACCCAGGGUAACUCUGAAAGUGGAGGGGAAACCCACCCAGUUUCUGGUGGACACAGGCACAACACUCUGUCCUCCUCCAAACAGAGGGAUCCCUUUCCAAGGAAAAAGUCUUGGGUCCAAGGGGCCACAGUAACUAAAAAAUGGACUACCCGGAGAUCUGUUGAUCUGGGAGUGGGAUAAGUAUCCCGCUCCUUCAUGGUCAUACCUGAGUGUCCUUACACUCUCCUUGACUGAAACUUACUUACCAAAAUGGGAGCUGAGAUCCAAUGCCUUCCAAAUGGUCAUACCAUUACAGGCCCCAAGGGGGAACCAACACAGGUUCUGACCAUGAGAUUGGAAGAUGAAAACAAACUGUUUGAGAAUAUCAAAAGUACCCCCAGGCCUGGGCUGAAACAGCAGGCAUGGGGAAGGCUACCAACCAGCUCCCCCAUCCAUGUAGAGCUGGAGGCCGCAACUAUCCCAUUAUCUGUGCACCAGUAACCCACAUCAUAAGAGGCUCAGGAGGGGAUCCGGCCUCACAUUAACAGGCUCCUGGACUUGGGGAUCCUGAGGAGAUGGCGGCAUGGAACACACCUCUCCUGCCCAUCAAGACACUUAGCACCCAGGACUAUCACCUGGUACAGGGCCUGUGUGAGGUAAACUGGAGUACAGCCGACAUACACCCCAUAGUACUUAAUGCUUACACCCUCCUGAGCACAUUACCACCUACCAGGAUCUGGUACACACUUUUGGACCUCGAUGAUGCCUUCUUCUAUCUCGCCUUGGCUUCCCAAAGUACUUUGCUUUUGAACAGAAAGAUCCUGAGAGGGGGAUCACGGGACAGCUCGCCUGGACCAGGCUGCCCCAGGGAUUCAGGAACUCACCAAGGACCCCUUCAACAAGGUCCUAUCGCCAUCUGUCAUGACUCUAACCCGCAGGUGACCCUUCUGCAAUAUGUAGAGGACAUUCUACCUGCAGCAGAGGCUAAGGAAGGCUGCCUCAGGGGCACUGAGCAGCUGCUAAUAGAACUGAGUGAAUUGGAUUAUCGAACCUCCACCAAGACAUCCCAAAUCUGUCAAUGAGAGGUGAGCUACCUGGGGUACCUGUUAGAGGAUGGGAGGUGCUUGUUGUCAGAGGCCAGGAAAGAAACCAUCCUUCAUAUCCUUGCCCCCAAAGACCCCUAAACAUGUGCGAGAAUUUUGGGGGACAGCUGGCUUCUGUAGGCUUUGGGUUCCUGGGUUUGCACACACCCCCCCACCCCGGACUAAGACUGGACAACCAUUUUACUAAGAGGGAUCAACAGGCAUUUGGUGCCACUGAGAGGGCUCUUUCGGAAGCGCCUGCGCUUGGGCUGCCUGACAUCAGCAGGCCUUUCCAUCUCUUUGUGACUGAGAACCAAGGGAUGGCUAAAGGGGUGCUGACCCGACCAUUGGGCACAUGGAAACUCCCCCAGUGCUCACCUGUCAAAGAAACUGGACCUGGUAGCGUCUGGAUGGCCUACCUGAGGAUAACAGUGGCAGUGGUAGUCCUGCUCAAGGAUACGGAUAAACUGACCUUGGAACAGGACUUGAUCCUGACAGCUCCCCUCCUCCCCCACCCCCCGCCCUCAUGCCCUCCAGAAUGUGGUGUGACAGACCCCUGGCUGGUGACUCACUAAUGCUUGUAUGAUCCACUACCAGACUUUGUUCCUGAACUCAGAUCAAGUCACUUUCACACCUCCGGUGACUCUGGACCUGGCCACUCUACUACCUGACCCUGAUCCCUGAGGUACCUGCCCAUGACCAACCACUGCCUGAUGCCGAGGUUACCUGGUUCACCGACGGCAGCAGCUAUCUCUUAGACGGGUAGCGCAAGGCUAUAGAAGCCAUGGUAGAUGGGCAGCACGUGCUCUGGGCAGAACCACUGGCCCCGGAACAUCAGGCCAGAAAGCAAAACUGAUUGCACUCAUCAAGGCCUUUUGAUUUGGGAGCUGGCAAGAAGAUCAUCAUCUACACCAAUAGCAGGUAGGCUUUUGCCACUACAUGGGGCAUAUGGGGUAAUAUACCAGCAGAGGUGUCUCCUGGCAUCCAGCGGCAGGGAGAUUAAGAACAAAGCUGAGAUCAAGGCACUCUUGGGAGCUCUCCUCAAACCACUAAAGGUGAGUAUCAUCCAUUGCCCAGGCCACCAGAAAGGAGAGACUGUCAUAGCUAGGGGAAUCAACUUUGUGGAUAAAAUGUCGAAAGAGGUUGCUACUAAAGUCCCGGCCACUGUCAUGGUCCAACUAAUAGAGACAAAGAAAAGGGGGGCGGUGGAUGAAUGGACUAAGGGUUGACCCCUUCUAUGGUACACCCCAGAAGAAGUAGUCCAAAUCUCUGGUUACCCCACCAACUAUUACCUUAAAAGAGAUGGACAAUGGAAGACACAAGAAGGAAAAGUUAUUUUACCUGGGGUCCGAGCAAGAGAACUGUUUACCCAGAUGCGCCAAUGGACUCAUCUGGGCACCGAGAAACUAGUGCAAACAGUCAAGGGUUCUCGAGUAUUCGUCAUGGACGUGAGGUACCUGGCAGAGGAAGUAGUGGGAAGAUGCCAGGUUUGUCAACAAGUAAAUGCCAGCCACACCAAGGCAGGGAAAGGAAAAAGGCUCAGGAGAAGUGGGCCAGGUGUCUUUUGGGAAGUGGAUUUUACCGAGGUCAAGCCUGGGAAGUAUGGUUACAAAUACUAGUUUUUGUAGAUACCUUUUCAGAGUGGGCAGAGGACUUCCCCACCAAACAGGAGACCACCACAAUGGUGGCAAAGAAGAUACCAGAAGAGAUUUUUUUCCCAGGUAAGCACAUAAGGUAAUUGGAUCAGGUAAUGGGCCUGCCUUCAUAUCUCAGGUAAGUCGGGUGCUUGCUAAGGUCUUGGGGACUAACUGGAAACUCCAUUGUGUAUAUCAUCCCCAGAGUCCAGGACAGGUAGAAAGGAUGAAUAGAACUCUAAAAGAGACCUUGACGAAAUUGACCUUAGAGACUGGCAGUGACUGGGUGGUGCUCCUUCCCUGGGCCCUGCUCUGAGCCCAGAACACCCCUUUGAGAUUCUCUAUUGGGGACCCAACCCACUGGUGGCUUCUGGACCUGACCUUGAGAUUACCAACUGAGGUGAUCAUGAACUUAUAAAGAGGCUGACAGCCCUUCAGACAGUUCAAAGGGAGAUCUGGUCCAAUCUGUCUGCUCUUUAUGCUCCAGGGACUACUGAAGUAACCCAUCAGUUUCAAGCCAGAGGCACUAUAUACAUCCACAGGCACUGGUCCCAGUCUGUAGAACCUCAGUGAAAGGGCCCCUACAUAGUCCUUCUAAUCAUGCCAACGGUUGUAACAGUGGGCAGAGUUGCAGCCUGGAUACAUACCUUUCAUGUAACGCCAGUUACCUGCCCACCCCCAGUUGACCAUCCCUCCUAGAACAGAGAUUGGAGCAUUUCCCACACAAAGAACCCUCUAAGGAUCAAGCUCAAUUGACAACCAAUGGAAAAUGGAACCCCUUCUCCUGCCGAGAAUCAUCCUGAUCCUAACCCUGCUCCCAGUCUUCUUUAAAAGAGACAUGUCCCAACCAACCAGCCAAGCUGACCCGGAGCGUGACUUCAGCCCUCAUGGGAGAUAAGGCUGUUGAGAAGAAUCCGACAGUGUUGCGUCUCCCUUGCUGGCUGAGGUGGACGUGACAACUGGUGGCCUGUACGGAGACCCGAGGACAUCCUUGUGGAUUCAGAACUCUUCAGUCUCAGGACGGCGACGUAGGUAAGGGACAAUAAAGCUCCCGGGUAAGGGACAAUAAAGUUCCCGGGUAAGGGACAAUAAAGUUCCCAGGUAGGGACA